UGCACCUGUUACCAGUUUAACUUCGGAUCAGAAGCACUGUACUAGUAGUCCAUCUUGUAGAUAUUAAAAGCGUGCUAAAUCAGAAGCUAAUCUAGAUAUUAAUUAAUUUUGUCAUCCGGGAGUUAAGUACAUGUAACAGGGGGUAAUUUGGAAUUCAUAGUCUUUUGACUCUUUUGUCAGGUUCUUUGAUUAGUAUGGGAGUGUGCUAGCCAAAUGCUUGAGUUAGCCUAUGUCACUUCCAUCUACCUUAUGCACCAAGUGAAUGAUCCGGGAUAAAAGAGUAUUAUCUUAAUGGUGUCAGUACCUCACCUCAAGUUGUUCAUUUAGAUGUCUCUGAACCUCAAUUUGCAUCUGAAGUGCUUCACCAAUUUGAAUAGUUCUUGCACCCAACAAAAGAGACUAUUACUUCAAUAUUCAUAUUAAUACGAUUAUAGUGUUUGAACAGUGUUCUUACUUCUCUGCUUGUGGAAUGACAUUUGUACUGCUCAUUGUUGUCGUACUUGUUACAGGCAUCCUAUCCGCAAUGACUGUGCAUCCUAUGGCUGCAAAUUGGGCACAAGUUGCGAACUUUUAUGCUGCUCCACUAUAAUGGAAAAUUUCUGAUUCCCAAGUACCUGGAGGUGGCUCUUCAGAUGAUACAAGGUGAGUCCUGGAAUGCCCAUGAGCCUCAUGACUGUUUUUGGAGUAGCUUCUGGGUGAUGAAGAUGAAUAUAAGAAUUUAGCUGGUUUCUGUACAUUGAGAAGAUAAGAAUAGUAUACUUACUCUCUGCUCCACCUAAUUGAUUGACUGCAUCUACAAAUCGCUGAUGUAACUCAGGUGUCCAUUUUAGCCUUGGUUUAGCGUCAGUUGAGAGAACCAGCCCAGAAUCUCCUUGGGUACUUCCUCCUCGCAGGAACAGAUGCUGCUCCAUCGGAAAGGAUGUCCUUGUAGUGAAGAGCUCAUUUGGACCCUGAUGUUGGUGAUACAUCUGCUGUAGAAUGAACACAAAUUUUUUAGAAGUCAGAACAACGGAAUAGGAGGGCUGAGAUUCGCCUAACCUUUCUUGCCUUGUUUUCCAGUAGCUUCUUUUCUCCGCUCAAACUUGAAGUUAUUUAGGAGCGUUUCCUGUUGACAAGCCCAAAAGCACUCUUGUCCUAGCUUAAGCCUGUUGAUAUCCUUUACCUUUUGGUCUUCCAAGGUUGAUAAGUAGUGCCUUGUGAGGGGCUCCUUAUAUGGGAAAACAUAGAAUCUAGCAUCUUGAAACAAACAUCAAAAGAACAAUCUUUAAGCCAACCAACAGAAGGUGCUAUCUUUAGUUAUUUUGGAAUCAAUAACCCAAAUCGGAAUUUCAAAUUUUCAUUUCCUACCCAUGACUGCUUUGAUAACACCGAUCUUGUAACUUUCUGUGUGCUUUACUCAUUUAGAUCAGUUAAAGUGUGUGUGCAGAGAUAAACACCAGCAGAUGAAGCGAGUUAUACUGUUAUCAUUUAUGUAGCUUUCUUGCAUACGAUUCUCCUAUCUGAUCUGUUCAGUUUGCGAAAGAUGCUUCUCUGAAUUUAUGCGUUAUGAGUGGCUGGUGGAAAACGUUUGAGUAGCUUCUCUGCCAUUUGUUGGUAUUUACGAAUGCGGCAGUCUUGUUGCACUAUGUUACAUGAUUAAUUGAUUAUUGUUUAUGGUGGAGUCUGAUGCAGUUUAGGCAAAAUUUGUUUAAGUGACACGAUGACACUUGUUGUUAUUCUUUUGUUGAAGAAGGCUAUUCUACAUACAGGGGCAUAGUUUUUCUGUCAAUUUUAUUCUGUCCAUAUUACUUUAAAGUGCAUGGAAUAUGAACAAGCAUAAGUUCCAUCAACGUUCCUUUGGUAAGAUUGGUACAUAUUCCUAUUGUAGUCCAGAAAAGUUUGGGCCAAGAGAUUUAUGCUCUUUACAUGGGAUAAGCUCCUUUUGAACAACAUCACUUUCAUUGUAAUCAUCACCAGUCAAAGCAAGAGUACUUAUGUACUAUGUUUCUGUAUAUGCUACACAAUCAUCAACGUUUCAGUACUUUUGCUACCAUAGAUAGCUGGUUCAGUGCAAUCAUGCUUUUUAGCUAAGGCACUGAAACACUUGUAAGCCAACGUUGGCCAGUUUAGUCCCUCCCCCUUUUUUCUUUCAAAAAACAGUAACAACAAUACAAAUUCUAUAAAUUUAUGUCCGCUCCAUAAGAGAACUGUUUUGUAGCUUUUCUAGUCUUAGUUUUGUACUCUUCCUGAAAUCAAAGUCAAGUAUGUAAGAAUUUUCCACACAUCAGCAAUUUUCAUUCCCAUUGGCAUGUUAUCUGACAAAUGUAUGAGAUAAGAGUAAGAUUUUUCUUUAUAUAUCAUGGCGCGUUCUGAGAAACUGAGGACAUUAUGUUUCCUGUAUUCAAUUUAACUAUGAUGCUUGUACCACUGUACUUCUUCAUCAUCUCUCUCUGUGUGAUUUGGUUGGCUGAAUAAGCCCCUCGUUAGAACCGUGCCAAUGGCAUACGUUGACAUUUUGGACUACUGGUAAGAAUUUUCAGCUGUCACAAUUUAAUAGUACUCAUUCUUUACAUAAGAAAACGAAAUAUCAGGAAUAUCUCUCUUUCUGCUUCACCAUCACUGAUGCUGUUGCAGUGUCCCCUCCCAUUAAGAGCUUUCUUUGAUAGCCGAUAGCCAUUGGGAACGGUAACCAUUACUUGCCUUUUAUUCUAAUAUAUUUUCUCAGUAGAUCAGGAACCUCAUGAAGUUUUUGAAGAGAGGAGUGAUUUGGAUCAUUUGCUAUUUGUUUCAUGAUGUUUAUGACGCUAAGACCAAUUGAUUCUACCAUUUGUGAGUUGUGAUAUUACUGCAUUUGCUCAGUUUGUGUUGAUGACCUAACAUGAUACUUCAGUUUACAUUUCUUUUUCUACUUACUGCAAUUUAUUUUUCUUAAUACAUCUGAUUAUUUGUAUUUAUUUUUUCACUUACUGCACUUUUAUUUCUCACUUCAUGUACUUAUCAGAUAUUGCAUGCUAUUUGGAAUGGAGGGUGAGCUGUCUUGCUAUCAGCAUAUAAAGAAGUUUCGAUAGAAGAAUUCAAAGCAUCGUGAUGUGCCCUUCAUCUUUUGCAAAGCAGCAUCGCUUGUGGGGGCAUAUUCAGCUGUAAAGAUUGGUCCUGAUGAGAGUUAUAGAAUCGUAUCUCCCUUUUGAAGGCUUGCUUUGGCCUGGGAAAAGAAAGCCUGAGUUGCUGGGUGACCAUCCCGUUCUGCUUAUGGUAUUAUUAGAGGUUCUACUGCUAUUAUAUCUUGCUUUCUACCUCUCUUAGGAAACGUGUAAAUUCUUGUAAUAACAUACUAUAUGCUUGGUGCUAGAAUUCCCCACUUUGGUGUUAUCUACUGUUUCCUUUCAGCACCAUUAAUUUUUUUAAGGGGAAAUGCAGUAGGGUCCUUUCUGCACCAUUAUUAUUUUUUAAUGGGGAAUGCAGUAGGGGAAGCUCCUACUAUGAUAAAUAUAUUAAUAUAUAAAAGGGCAAAUAAGAACAGGUAAAAAAGCUGUACAAAACAGAAGAACCCUGGAAGGGGCCAAGGAGGCCAAAAGAAAAGAGGAGUCUAUACAACUGAACUAAGCCAAGCAGAGAGGUGAAGGUCAGGAGAGGAAGUCAUCUUGUGCAAUUGAAGACGGACCUCGUCUUUAAGGCCAAUGCUUACAUGAAGAAAGGAGCUUGAAGAUCAACUUUUGCUUGCUGUGUCAUGGAGAAGAAUUGUAGAUGACGAUCCUAGUGAAUAUUUAGAAGCUGCCAGCAUCUUGUGCUAAAGGGACAAUCAAAGAAAAGACGGAAUGUAGUUUCCUCCAACCCUAAACUACAUAGAACACAAUUGCAAUUGUUUCUGCACCAUUAUUAUUGUGUACUAAUAUUAUUUGCUUUGUGCUAGACAUUCCCCACUUUUGUUCCAAUUUUGGACCUGUAAAUACUUUGGACAAUAUUUUGGUUGUCUUGGUUUUGGCCAAAUUUUAGCU